ACAGAGCAGGGGGAGCCGCGCCGCCGCCGCCGCCGGCAGUGCGGCCUCCGGGCGCCGCGGCCACCGGGCAGCGCCCCCGGGCCUCCUGCGCCCCCAGAGGGGACGCCCCGGACGCCCUCCUGGGGAGGUGGCGAAGGGCGCACGGCGACCCCCGGCUCUGGGCGCGCGGUGGGGGCGGGCGUGCGGACACGCGCGCUGACCCUUCCUCGGAGGCUGCAGGUGCCGAGGGGUCCAUGGGAGACAGCCGGUCUGCGGGGCGCGGGGGGGUCGCGUUCCCCGGGAGCCAGCCCAGCUGCCCCUGCCCAGCCCCCAGAGCGCGGCGGCGGGUGCAGUCGUGCAAGUUUCUUGCGGGUCUCUUGACUUCUCCGAGUUGAAGGCACCGGUUCGGGACGCGAGGUGCUCUUGGAAAGAGUUGGGCAUCGCGCAUCUCUGCUGGCCCGCGGCCCUGUUCAAAUGCGAGCUAGGACGUCGCCUGCCCCAGGCUUUGUCCUUUUGGAAAACUAGGGUUGUAGGAAGGUGCCUGGUGCCAGGCAGACCACCAGAGACUCUCGACCUUGAGUACUAAAGAGUUUUCUGCUCAGCAAAAGCUCAAUGAUGAUCAGCAUCGUAACAGGGACUCUUCCUCCCGCCCCCAGAAGUUCUCUUGUCAUAAACAAGGCGAGGGGGUCUUCGCUGAGCUUCACCAGAGGACCACGAUUUCACCUUAAGCCAUUCCUGACUUCAGUACCAGACUGAGACCAGGCGCUGCUACUGCCCAAAUGACCCCUGGUCCCAUCUACAAGGAGCACUUUUGAGGCCUCAGAACAGAGCCCCGGGGAGAAAUCUGCGAUGAUCAGGGUAACCUGGGUGCCGCAUCUUGCUGUUCAGCUGCAGCGGAACCGGCCGGACCAGAGCUAAUGCGCGCCCAGAAUGAAGAGGGAGACCGAGAGUGGCCCAAAUGUCAGCGCCCCGGGCCUGGAGAUGACAGCCCGACAGCAGCCAUUUCACAGCUGGGGAAACUGAGUCCUGGGAAAGUUUAAGGUUGCAGCCUUAAGUUGUUACUCAUUCUAGACGUUUCCCCUGAGGGUUUGGUCUUUGGGGAACACGCUACUGUGGAAAUGGAGAGACCGCAGGCCUUUUCCUAGGCAUUUGUUUUUACUAUUCUGAAACGCAGUCUCCUGACGUGAAAAAUGAAGAAAAGAACAAAUACUGGCCGGGCGCGGUGGCUCAUGCCUGUAAUACCAGCACUUUGGGAGGCCGAGGCGGGUGGAUCACUUGAGGUUAAGAGUUCGAUACCAGCCUGGCCAACAUGGUGGGUGAAACCCCGUCUCUACUAAAAAUACAAAAAUUAGCCGGGCGCGGUGGUGGGCUCCUGUAAUCGCAGCUACUCGGGAGUCUGAGGCAGGAGACUCGCUUGAACCUGGGAGACGGAGGUUGCAGUGAGCAGAGAUCCAGCCACUGCACUCCAGCCUGGGAGACAGAGUGAGACCCUGUCUCAGAAAAAAAAAAAAGGCCGGGCGCGGUGGUUCAUGCCUGUAAUCCCAGCACUUUGGAGGCCGAAGUGGGCAGAUCACGAGGUCAGGAGUUCGAGACCAGCCUGGCCAACAUGGAGAAACCCUGUCUCUACUAAAAAUACAAAAAUUAGCUGGGCGUGGUGGUGCAGGCCUGUAAUCUGAGCUACGCGGGAGGCUGAGGCAGGAAAAUGCUUGAACCUGGGAGGCAGAGGUGCAAUGAUCAUGCCAUUGCACUCCAGCCUGGGCAACAGAGCAAAACUGAAUCUCAAAAAAACAAAACAAAACAAAAUAAAACAAAACAAAACAAAAAAAGAAAGAGAGAAAGAAAAAGAAAAAAAAGAGAAAGAGAAAGAAGGACUUCAGAGAAUCGUUCCGAGAAUUUUCUGGGAAAAUAUGCAACAGCAGGUCAUAAAACAGAUCUCACAGAGAUAUGUGAGAUCAAUAGGUAUGUGCUUUGGGCCACAUGAAACUUUAAAAAAAUGUAUCUUAAAAUUUAAAAUAGGAAAAUAUUAUGUCAGAAUUCAAAUAGUGACUGAGGAACAGAUAAAUGUGUCUAUCCACACAAUGGAAUAUUAUUCAGCCAUAAAAGGGAAUGAAUACAUGCUACAACAUGGGUGAACCUUGAAACACGCUAAGUGAAAGAAGCCAGUCACAAAAGGAUAAAUAUGCGUAAGUCCAUUUGCGGGAGAUAUCUACAACUAGGCGAAUCCAUAAAGACAGAUAUCAGAUUGGUGGUUGCCAGAGGCAAGGGGGAGGGAGAGCAGGAGUGACUGCUAACGGAUGUGGGGUUUCCUUUCGGAGUGAUAGGAAAGUUCUGGAAUGAGAUAGUGGUGAUGGUUGCAGAACAAUGUGAAUGUACUUAAUGACGCUGAAUUGUACACUUUUAAAUGGUUACAAUGGUCAAUUUUAUGUGUAUUUGAUCAUAAUAAAAAGAAAUCUAGGCUGGGC
rnacentral:lncRNA from 1 species